GGAUGCGAUCAUACCAGCACUAAAGCAACGGAUCCCAUCAGAACUUUGAAGUUAAGCGUGCUUGGGCGAGAGUAGUACUAGGAUGGGUGACCUCCUGUGAAGUCCUCGUGUUGCAUUCC
rnacentral:rRNA from 1 species